UCAUGAUUAUGCACUAGGGUGAUUGCAUUAGCUUCACGAAUAUGCUGCAUUGCAUCAUGCGUUGUUGAUGUGGGUGAAUGUUGGAUGACCCAAUUAGUCCAUGACAGGAAGACCAGGACCCCAUUCUAUGGCCUGGCACGAAAAUGAAAGACCAGGACCCCAUUCUACGGCCUGGCACGAUUGUGGACUCGAAGACCAGGAGCCCAGAGGAGGCCCUGGAAUAAUGGUAAGUAAUGUAUGUAUGACAGGAAGACCAGGACCCCAUGCUACGGCCUGGCACUAUGUUAGCUUGGACUAAUUGGUGACAAGUUCACCCAACCCUUAUGUGAAUUGUUUGUGUUAUGAUGCAUUCCAUUUGAGCAUAGUGUUAAUGUAUUUUACUAGCUCUACUCACUGGACUUUUAGCUCACCCCUCUCCCUUUACCCCCAGGCUUGCAGGUACAGGAUAUAGUGCGGGAGUCCGGAUAGAGAAAAGAGGUCAUGUUUUUGUAAUAGCUAGAAAUGGACAUGAUCAAAUUGAAAUGUAAAAGUACAGUAUAGUUAUGUAACGAGGUUUAUGGAUGUUAGUGUGUGCUUGACCAUAGAAUGUUGUAUCCCUUUUUAUACAUGAUCUUGGUUAUUUUAUGUCAUUUAUGUAAACCAGCUCAACACAGGUUAUGUUACCCUUUGAGGGCACAGAUGAGAUCCCACAGAGGGAU
rnacentral:lncRNA from 1 species